AGAGUUUGAUCCUGGCUCAGGAUGAACGCUAGCGGCAGGCUUAACACAUGCAAGUCGAACGGUAACAGGGAAAAGCUUGCUUUUCCGCUGACGAGUGGCGAACGGGUGCGUAACACGUAUGCAACUUACCUUUAACAGGGGGAUAGCCCAGAGAAAUCUGGAUUAAUACCCCAUAACAUUAUCAUUUCGCAUGUUAUGAUAAUUAAAACUCCGGUGGUUAGAGAUAGGCAUGCGUCCCAUUAGUUAGUUGGUAAGGUAACGGCUUACCAAGGCAGCGAUGGGUAGGGGGUCUGAGAGGAUGAUCCCCCACACUGGUACUGAGACACGGACCAGACUCCUACGGGAGGCAGCAGUGAGGAAUAUUGGGCAAUGGACGCAAGUCUGACCCAGCCAUGCCGCGUGCAGGAAGAAUGCCCUAUGGGUUGUAAACUGCUUUUAUAUACCAAGAAACGCAGGUACGUGUACCUGUCUGACGGUAGUAUAUGAAUAAGCACCGGCUAACUCCGUGCCAGCAGCCGCGGUAAUACGGAGGGUGCAAGCGUUAUCCGGAUUUAUUGGGUUUAAAGGGUGCGCAGGCGGUAAUUUAAGUCAGUGGUGAAAGCCUAUAGCUCAACUAUAGAAUUGCCAUUGAUACUGAAGUUCUUGAGUUUGGGAGAGGUAGGCGGAAUACAACAUGUAGCGGUGAAAUGCAUAGAUAUGUUGUAGAACACCGAUUGCGAAGGCAGCUUACUAAACCAUUACUGACGCUCAGGCACGAAAGCGUGGGUAGCGAACAGGAUUAGAUACCCUGACCCUGGUAGUCCACGCCGUAAACGAUGGAUACUAGUUGUUGGGCAUUAGCUCGGUGACUAAGCGAAAGUGAUAAGUAUCCCACCUGGGGAGUACGGUCGCAAGACUGAAACUCAAAGGAAUUGACGGGUGCCUGCACAAGCGGUGGAGCAUGUGGCUUAAUUCGAUGAUACGCGAGGAACCUUACCAGGGCUUAAAUGUAGUCUGACAGCUUUAGAUAUAGAGUUUUCUUCGGACAGAUUACAAGGUGCUGCAUGGUUGUCGUCAGCUCGUGCCGUGAGGUGUCAGGUUAAGUCCUAUAACGAGCGCAACCCCUGUCGUUAGUUGCCAGCAAGUAAAGUUGGGGACUCUAACGAGACUGCCUACGCAAGUAGAGAGGAAGGUGGGGAUGACGUCAAAUCAUCACGGCCCUUACGUCCUGGUCCACACACGUGCUACAAUGGCAUGGACAAUGAGCAGCCACCUGGCAACAGAGAGCGAAUCUAUAAACCAUAUCACAGUUCGGAUCGGAGUCUGCAACUCGACUCCGUGAAGCUGGAAUCGCUAGUAAUCGGAUAUCAGCCAUGAUCCGGUGAAUACGUUCCCGGGCCUUGUACACACCGCCCGUCAGGCCAUGGAAGCUGGGAGUGCCUGAAGUCGGUCACCGCAAGGAGCCGCCUAGGGUAAAACUGGUAACUAGGGCUAAGUCGAAACAAGGUAGCC
rnacentral:rRNA from 1 species